GCGUUAGGCUGACCGGGAACUAGAAAGGGAACUCCAAGUGUCCAGCGGAAGCUUUACGAGCUCUCCGGAGCUGAAUCGUGCUCGGCGUAACUCGCCCGCCCGCUGCAAGGUGAAUAGUGACACUCCAAGUGGCCGACGGAAGUUUUCCAAGCGGUCUCCGGCUGAAUCGUAGUCCGCGUAGCUAACCCGCAGCCAGAUUUGGACACCGGGACGGACGGCGUUAGGCUGACCGGGAACUAGAAAGGGAACUCCAAGUGUCCAGCGGAAGCUUUACGAGCUCUCCGGAGCUGAAUCGUGCUCGGCGUAACUCGCCCGCCCGCUGCAAGGUGAAUAGUGACACUCCAAGUGGCCGACGGAAGUUUUCCAAGCGGUCUCCGGCUGAAUCGUAGUCCGCGUAGCUAACCCGCAGCCAGAUUUGGACACCGGGACAGACGGCGUUAGGCUGACCGGGAACUAGAUUGAAAAGGCGAUCUCCAAGUGGCCACCAAUGACGAGUCCGUGGACCGUACGGCGUAGGAAGAGGAAGAUGCGGAGGCUCAA